rnacentral:rRNA from 1 species
AUACGUAGGUGGCGAGCGUUAUCCGGAUUUACUGGGCGUAAAGGGUGCGUAGGCGGUCUUUCAAGUCAGGAGUGAAAGGCUACGGCUCAACCGUAGUAAGCUCUUGAAACUGGGAGACUUGAGUGCAGGAGAGGAGAGUGGAAUUCCUAGUGUAGCGGUGAAAUGCGUAGAUAUUAGGAGGAACACCAGUAGCGAAGGCGGCUCUCUGGACUGUAACUGACGCUGAGGCACGAAAGCGUGGGGAGCGAACAGGAUUAGAUACCCUGGUAGUCCACGCCGUAAGCGAUGAGUACUAGGUGUCGGGGGUUACCCCCCUCGGUGCCGCAGCUAACGCAUUAAGUAAUCCACCUGGGGAGUACGGCCGCAAGGUUAAA